GUGAGAACACAUCCACGCAGAGUCUAACCAGGUGUGAACAUAUUUUAUUUUUUGAAAAAAAUAUAUAGUACGUCAACUGCUUCAUUUAUUAUUAAUGUAAAAUAAAGUUAGUAAUUAUUUGAACAGCAAAUACGGCCAAAAGGCAAAAUUGAAGAAGAAAAUAGAGUCAGAGUGUUCACAUCCUUCACAUACUAUUCACUUUGUUCAUUAAAAAGCAAAAAAUGAAGAAUAAUAAAACUUUGAACUAACGAUUUCAAGUAUCAAUCAUCGAGCAUUUUGUCACUUGCACUAGAAACAAUCAGUGGGGUUUGAAAAUUGUUAUAGCCAAAUAAUAAUGAAGAG
rnacentral:lncRNA from 1 species